UGAGGUAAUCACUCCAUUGAAUCCUGCCAGCAGUUUGACAACAGUGAGAACGAACUGCUCCUCCUCAAACUUGGCAGGAGCAUUGCAACAGCUAGAGCUUUCUGCACACCUUGAUGACAUUUACAAGUUUCUUCUUUAGCCAUAAAACAGUUGCUGAUCAUUUCCUAUUAAGUGAUUAAUCUACAGUCAAAUCUGAAGGUCAUCAAAGUGAUUCCAAAUGCCUUGGAGAGCCAUUUUCUCUCGCAAAAAAGUGUCAUUCUGCUGAAGCUGGUGACCUCAGUGGGGAACUUCUACCAUUAGGAAAGGAUGAAAGGCUUUUAAUGUCACUUC